rnacentral:rRNA from 1 species
AUGAAGUUCGCUGUGACCCAGUGCUCGCUGCCGGUGCUGGUCGGCCCGUCGGAGCCCACGCCGGCCGGCCAUCUGCCUCUCACUUCCACUGACAAGGGCUGCCUCUACCUGCCAGUCACGUCGCUCCACGUCUUCGACCGCCCGAUCCACGAGCCGGCUGAGAUCAUACGGCGCGCGCUGUCCCAUGCACUGGUCCACUACUACCCCCUCGCCGGUCGCCUCGACGCCAGCGGCCCGGACGUCCAGCUCGCAUGCACCGGUGAUGGCGUCGAGUACGUCGCCGCGACGGCGAGCUGCACUCUGGAGGACGUCAGGUUCCUUGACUCGCCGCCGGUGGCCCCUCUGGACGCUUUUGUCGUCCGGUGUAGCGAUCGCGUCCGCAUGUCAGAUUGCCCGCUGCUGAUGAUGCAGGUCACGGAGUUCGCCUGCGGCGGAUACGUCGUCGGGGCGACGUGGAACCAUGCCGUCGCCGACGCCUUCGGGAUGGCCCAGUUCCUAGGGGCCGUCGGCGAGCUCGCGCGCGGGCUGCCCACGCCGUCGGUCGUUCCGGUGAGGCACGACGCGGCGCUCCCGGAGAUCCCGCACCUGUUGGGCGCCGUGGGGCCGUACCUGGACUUCACGCACGCCGAGUACGCCCGCACGGACGUGACCAUCCCUUGGAGCUUCAUCAACCGCGUCAAGGCAGAGCACGGCGGCGCGGACCACCAGCCGUGCUCGACGUUCGACGUCGUGGCGGCCGCGGUAUGGCGGUGCCGGACCCGCGCGAUGAACGCCGACCCGGCCUCCCCCGCGCUGCUGGUCUUCACGGCCAACGUGCGGAGGCACAUCGGCGCCAAGGACGGCUACUACGGCAACUGCAUCGCGCUGCAGAUGGCCGUGUCGACGUGUGGCGCGGUGGCGGACGGCGGCACCGCCGAGACGGCGAGGCUGAUCAGGCGCGGCAAGGAGCGGAUACCGUGCAUCCUUGGAGAUUACGAGCCCGUGCUGUUCGGCGAGGAGGUCGUCGGCGCGCUCCGCGGGCACGCGCCGCUGUUCGUGUCGAGCUGGGGCGGCAUCGGGCUGGACGGGGUGGACUUCGGCGGCGGGAGGCCGGCGAGGGUGAUGGCCGACAUGGAGGUGACGUGGGCGCCAUGCUGCAUCCCGUGCCUGCCGUGUUCGAGGAAGGACGGCGAGGGCGUGAAUGUGCUGGCGUUCUGCGUCAGGGAGGAGCACGCCGACGGAUUCCAUGCCGAGCUGGCGACGCUCCACUGA